rnacentral:rRNA from 1 species
GGGGAAAAUGGACCAAUGGGCGAAAGCUUGAUCCAGCCAGGCGGCGGGUGUGAAGAGGGUCUCGGGAUGUUAAAGAACUUAAGGUGGGGGGGAAGGGAGGAAGGUAAAUCCCUGGUGGUUUGAAGGUAACCACCAGAAUAACAACGGCUUACCUCCGUGCCAGCAGCCGCGGUAAUACGAAGGGUGCAAGCGUUAAUCGGAAUUACUGGGCGUAAAGCGCGCGUAGGUGGUUCAGCAAGUUGGAUGUGAAAUCCCCGGGCUCAACCUGGGAACUGCAUCCAAAACUACUGAGCUAGAGUACGGUAGAGGGUGGUGGAAUUUCCUGUGUAGCGGUGAAAUGCGUAGAUAUAGGAAGGAACACCAGUGGCGAAGGCGACCACCUGGACUGAUACUGACACUGAGGUGCGAAAGCGUGGGGAGCAAACA